rnacentral:rRNA from 1 species
GACGAACGCUGGCGGCGUGCUUAACACAUGCAAGUCGUACGGUAAGGCCCUUUCGGGGGUACACGAGUGGCGCACGGGUGAGUAACACGUGAGUAACCUGCCCACAACUUUGGGAUAACGCUAGGAAACUGGUGCUAAUACUCGAUAUGUGCCCCUGCUGCAUGGUGGGGGUUGGAAAGCUCCGGCGGUUGUGGAUGGACUCGCGGCCUAUCAGCUUGUUGGUGGGGUAGUGGCCUACCAAGGCGGCGACGGGUAGCCGGCCUGAGAGGGUGACCGGCCACAUUGGGACUGAGAUACGGCCCAGACUCCUACGGGAGGCAGCAGUGGGGAAUAUUGCACAAGGGGCGCAAGCCUGAUGCAGCAACGCCGCGUGCGGGAGGACGGCCUUCGGGUUGUAAACCGCUUUCAGCAGGGACGAAGCUUUUUGUGACGGUACCUGCAGAAGAAGCACCGGCUAACUACGUG